GCUGUCUCCCAGGGGAGGCACAGACUUCAGUCAGCACAUCCUGCCUGAGGCCGAGCAUCUGCUGGAACUGCACAAAGACCGCAGCUCAGGUGACACAGGUCACCCAGCAGCUGUGACACGGGGAUACCCCAGGUUUCCCCAGGAUUACAAACAGCUUUCCUUCUGAAGGAAAAGAACACAAAACCAGCAGAGGCCCCGCUGCCGGCUGGGCUUCUCCACCUGGAUGGCAGGAAACUUGGAAAAUACAAAGAAGUGGAAAGAAGGAAAAAAAAAUCAUCAACAAUCAAACCACCCCAAGUGAUAACUUCUGUUAAUAUUCUUGUGUAUUUCUUCCAUUUUUCCCUCAGUACUAUUUACACAGUUAUGAUCAGUCUGUAAAUAACAAUUUUAUACCCAGCUUAUUUUACGGAACAUAAAUAUUUUCCUUCGCAUGCGUCCCUUUCCAUAGAUACCAUACAUUUUCUAACUCUUCUACUGGUGCUGGCUAUUUAUUUGGAUCCAUUUUGUACUGUAAACAACACUUUGAUGAA